GACGAACCGUGCGAACGUUGUUCGGAAUCACUGGGCUUAAAGGGCGCGUAGGCGGGCCGGCAAGUCGGAGGUGAAAGCCCCCAGCUCAACUGGGGAAGUGCCCCCGAUACUGCCGGCCUGGAGGGGGGUAGGGGCGUGCGGAACUUCCGGUGGAGCGGUGAAAUGCGUAGAUAUCGGAAGGAACACCGGUGGCGAAGGCGGCACGCUGGGCCCACCCUGACGCUGAGGCGCGAAAGCCAGGGGAGCGAACGGGAUUAGAUACCCCCGUAGUCC
rnacentral:rRNA from 1 species